AAUGAGAGAAUGACAAAUCAGAUUUUUCUCUUGAUUUUUAGUUUUUUUCUCCUAAAAAAAAUUCAAAUCAAACUAAAAACACUAAAAAUCAGGAUAAAAAAUCUGAUUUAUCAUUCUCCCAUU
rfam:Gossypium hirsutum cultivar TM-1 chromosome 10, whole genome shotgun sequence